UGGGGAAUAUUGCACAAUGGGCGCAAGCCUGAUGCAGCCAUGCCGCGUGUAUGAAGAAGGCCUUCGGGUUGUAAAGUACUUUCAGCGGAGAGGAAGGUGUUGAGGUUAAUAACCUCAGCAAUUGACGUUACCCGCAGAAGAAGCACCGGCUAACUCCGUGCCAGCAGCCGCGGUAAUACGGAGGGUGCAAGCGUUAAUCGGAAUUACUGGGCGUAAAGCGCACGCAGGCGGUCUGUCAAGUCGGAUGUGAAAUCCCCGGGCUCAACCUGGGAACUGCAUUCGAAACUGGCAGGCUAGAGUCUUGUAGAGGGGGGUAGAAUUCCAGGUGUAGCGGUGAAAUGCGUAGAGAUCUGGAGGAAUACCGGUGGCGAAGGCGGCCCCCUGGACAAAGACUGACGCUCAGGUGCGAAAGCGUGGGGAGCAAACA
rnacentral:rRNA from 1 species